rnacentral:rRNA from 1 species
UACGGGAGGCAGCAGUGGGGAAUUUUGCGCAAUGGGCUAACGCCUGACGCAGCAACGCCGCGUGGAGGAUGAAGGUCUUCGGAUCGUAAACUCCUGUCAGCAGGGAAAAAGCGACCCGACCUAAUACGUCGGGGAGUUGAUUGUACCUGCAGAGGAAGCCCCGGCUAACUYUGUGCCAGCAGCCGCGGUAAUACAGAGGGGGCAAGCGUUAUUCGGAAUUAUUGGGCGUAAAGGGCGCGUAGGCGGCUUUGCAAGUGACGGGUGAAAGCCCUCGGCUUAACCGAGGAACUGCCUGUCAGACUGUGAGGCUUGAGACCGGGAGAGGUGAGUGGAAUUCCCAGUGUAGCGGUGAAAUGCGUAGAUAUUGGGAGGAACACCAGUGGCGAAGGCGGCUCACUGGACCGGAACUGACGCUGAGGCGCGAAAGCGUGGGGAGCAAACAGGAUUAGAUACCCUGGUAGUCCACGCCGUAAACGAUGAGUGCUUGGUGUAGCGGGUAU